UACGGAGGGAGCUAGCGUUGUUCGGAAUUACUGGGCGUAAAGCGCACGUAAGCGGCUUUGUAAGUUAGGGGUGAAAUCCCGGGGCUCAACCCCGGAACUGCCUUUGAUACUGCGAAUCUCGAGUCCGGAAGAGGUGAGUGGAAUUCCUAGUGUAGAGGUGAAAUUCGUAGAUAUUAGGAAGAACACCAGUGGCGAAGGCGGCUCACUGGUCCGGUACUGACGCUGAGGUGCGAAAGCGUGGGGAGCAAACAGG
rnacentral:rRNA from 1 species